GACGAACGCUGGCGGCGUGCUUAACACAUGCAAGUCGAACGGAGUGGCGAACGGGUGAGUAACAAGUGGGUGACCUGCCUUGCACUUCGGGGUAAGCCUGGGAAACUGAGGCUAAUACCGGACAGUGUGGGAUGGGCCCGCGGCCUAGCAGCUUGUGGGUGGGGGAAUGGCCUACCAAGGAGGCGACGGGUCGCCGGCCUGAGAGGGUGGACGGCCACAUCGGGACUGGGACACGGCCCAGGCUCCUACGUGAGGCAGCAGUGGGGAAUAUUGCACAAUAGGCGGAAGCCUGAUGCAGCGCCGCCGCGUGGGGGAUGACGGCCUUCGGGUUGUAAACUCCUUUCACCGUCGACGCGGUAGAGGGAGAAGAAGCACCGGCUAACUACGUGCCAGCAGCCGCGGUAAUAC
rnacentral:rRNA from 1 species